rnacentral:rRNA from 1 species
AGCGAACGCUGGCGGCAUGCCUAACACAUGCAAGUCGCACGGGGGGGCUUCGGCCUCCCAGUGGCGGACGGGUGAGGAACGCGUAGGGACCUGUCGAGGGGUGGGGGAUAACCGCGGGAAACUGCGGCUAAUACCGCAUGACGCCGCGGCGUGACAGCCGUGGCCAAAGGCGAAAGCCGCCCGCCGAGGGGCCUGCGUCCGAUUAGCUGGUUGGCGGGGUAGCGGCCCACCAAGGCGUCGAUCGGUAGCUGGUCUGAGAGGGUGAUCAGCCACACCGGGACUGAGACACGGCCCGGACUCCUACGGGAGGCAGCAGUGGGGAAUAUUGGACAAUGGGCGCAAGCCUGAUCCAGCAAUGCCGCGUGGGUGAAGAAGGUCUUCGGAUUGUAAAGCCCUUUCGGCGGGGACGAUGGUGACGGUACCCGCAGAAGAAGCCCCGGCUAACUUCGUG